rnacentral:rRNA from 1 species
UACGUAGGGUGCAAGCGUUGUCCGGAAUUAUUGGGCGUAAAGAGCUCGUAGGCGGCCUGUUGCGUCCGCUGUGAAGGCCCGGGGCUUAACCCCGGGUCGGCAGUGGAUACGGGCAGGCUAGAGGUAGGUAGGGGAGAAUGGAAUUCCCGGUGUAGCGGUGAAAUGCGCAGAUAUCGGGAGGAACACCGGUGGCGAAGGCGGUUCUCUGGGCCUUACCUGACGCUGAGGAGCGAAAGCGUGGGGAGCGAACAGG